rnacentral:misc_RNA from 1 species
AAGUCGUAACAAGGUUUCCGUAGGUGAACCUGCGGAAGGAUCAUUUUUGGGGUGUUAACGUGGUUCUGCCAUGGUUAACUUUUAAAUUGUGAACUUUAAUUUGGGUGGUCUCUGCGUGCCUUGGCCUUAGUUCCUUCGGGUUCUUUGGUUGGGGCGUGGUAUUGGGGUUUCGGCUUCAAUAUUUACAUGCGAGCACCUUGGGGCUUUUAUUAACCAUAAACUUAUUUUACGUAAAGGAGUGAUUGGCCUAAGCAAUCAAAUUUAUAGCCUUUAGCAAUGGAUCUCUUGGCUCCC